GACGAACGCUGGCGGCGUGCUUAACACAUGCAAGUCGAACGGAAAGGCCCUGCUUUUGUGGGGUGCUCGAGUAGCGAACGGGUGAGUAACACGUGCGUAACCUGCCCUUGACUUUGGGAUAACUUCAGGAAACUGGGGCUAAUACCGGAUAGGAGCUCCUGCUGCAUGGUGGGGGUUGGAAAGUUUCGGCGGUUGGGGAUGGACUCGCGGCUUAUCAGCUUGUUGGUGGGGUAGUGGCUUACCAAGGCUUUGACGGGUAGCCGGCCUGAGAGGGUGACCGGCCACAUUGGGACUGAGAUACGGCCCAGACUCCUACGGGAGGCAGCAGUGGGGAAUAUUGCACAAUGGGCGGAAGCCUGAUGCAGCAACGCCGCGUGCGGGAUGACGGCCUUCGGGUUGUAAACCGCUUUCGCCUGUGACGAAGCGUGAGUGACAGUAAUGGGUAAAGAAGCACCGGCUAACUACGUG
rnacentral:rRNA from 1 species